UUUCCUGCCCCUGCCCUCCAGCACAUAUCUAGUUAUAGUGAUUGUUGGAUGUAUUCACUCCUAGAACCACUUUGCUAACUGCCUCCAAUCCUAGAAAUCAGGAAGCACACAUAUCUUGAGUGAGUGUUUACCAUGUUUGAUAGGAGGAUACUGUCUUCUAGAACAAGCCCCCUUCAGCUUCUUAAGUGACAUGAACUAACAUUUUUCGAGUUGACAUCCCUCAAGAUAAAUGAUGCCAGGAGGCGUCUGUGCAAACAUCCUGACCCGCAGCUUGUUGUGAGUCUUGCUUGUUCCCGGUGCCUUCGCCACACUGCUUGGCCUGCUCCCAAGAAUGAAUGGCUAAUCUGUUCUACUUGCUCCUGUACCCAGGCAACUCACUCAACACCAGGCUCACAGAGGGUCUUCGGAGAUUGUUGCUCCAAGGGUGAGCAAGUGCAUGAGGGCCUGGCCUGGCACAUCGGAGCAUUUCCACACUUCUGCACCUUUGCUUCUGGAGCCCCCACUGCUGAGAAUGCCUUCCCACCACCAACUCAAGCAUCAUCACUUCCUGGGAUGGUCGCUCACAAAAAGAAUUGGCUCUUCCUGUGUGUGACUGCGUUCUUCUCCUCUUUUCCAUAUCUGGGUCUGGCUCUACAGUCUUGCUUUCAAAAGAUUUCCCCGAAGGAAAAGUUAGAAGAAGGAAAAUGUGAAGGAAAAUGCUCACCACUGCACUAGUAUGGAUAAUUGUGAAAAAAAAUGGAAAUAAUCUAAGUGCCUAAGUCUUAAGGGUUGAUAGUAAAACAGAAUGUCCGUGUGGCAGAAGCCAUGCAAUCACUGAAUUUGUGUGGAUUAAUAAUUGCUGCCAUGACCCACAGAUAAGCACUGAAUCAUACUCCUGGAAUCCAGUUGUGGAGAGGGAGGAGGGAUGAGCAAAGGAGCCAAGACUGUGCUGCAGAAACCCACAGAAACAGUGGACCUGACCUAGUGAGAGCA